GACGAACGCUGGCGGCGUGCUUAACACAUGCAAGUCGAACGGAAAGGCCCUGCUUUUGUGGGGUGCUCGAGUGGCGAACGGGUGAGUAACACGUGAGUAACCUGCCCUUGACUUUGGGAUAACUUCAGGAAACUGGGGCUAAUACCGGAUAGGAGCUCCUGCUGCAUGGUGGGGGUUGGAAAGUUUCGGCGGUUGGGGAUGGACUCGCGGCUUAUCAGCUUGUUGGUGGGGUAGUGGCUUACAAAGGCUUUGACGGGUAGCCGGCCUGAGAGGGUGACCGGCCACAUUGGGACUGCGGUACGCACCAGACUCCUACGGGAGGCAGUAGUGGGGAAUAUUGCACAAUGGGCGGAAGCCUGAUGCAGCAACGCCGCGUGCGGGAUGACGGCCUUCGGGUUGUAAACCGCUUUCGCCUGUGACGAAGCGUGAGUGACGGUAAUGGGUAAAGAAGCACCGGCUAACUACGUG
rnacentral:rRNA from 1 species